rnacentral:rRNA from 1 species
GACGAACGCUGGCGGCGUGCCUAAUACAUGCAAGUCGAACGCAGUGGGGACGGGUGAGUAACACGUGGGUAACCUCCCAUCAGAGGGGAUAACACUUGGAAACAGGUGCUAAACCGAUACUGAUGGAUGGACCCGCGGUGCAUUAGCUAGUUGGUGAGGUAACGGCUCACCAAGGCCACGAUGCAUAGCGGUCCUGAGCGUGUGCGCGGCCACACGGGGACUGAGACACGGCCCAGACGCCUACGGGAGGCAGCAGUAGGGAAUUUUCGGCAAGGUACGAAAGUCUGACCGAGCAACGCCGCGUGAGUGAAGAAGGUUUGCGGAUCGUAAAACUCUGUUGUUAGAGAAGCGUGAGCUAACCAGAAAGCCACGGCUAACUACGUGCCAGCAGCCGCGGUAAUUC